GCGCCGGUAGUUCAGUAGGAAAGAACACCCGCCUGCUAAGCGGGAAGUCGUGGGUUCAAGGCCCACCCGGCGUA
rnacentral:tRNA from 1 species